rnacentral:tRNA from 1 species
CGGGUGGUGGCGCAGCCCGGUAGCGCAUUCCCUUGGGGUGGGAAAGGUCGCAAGUUCAAAUCUUGUCCACCCGA